GUGAUAUCUUGGUGGUCGCAUCCACCAUUUGUGAUGAAGCGAUGUGGCAAAUGCAAAAUGUUGUCAGCAUGGCGUGUGGUUGUCAUGCUGGUUCCGCCGUGUGUGUGAGACCGCCUGCCACGUGGCUGCUGGAACCUGCGCUUGGCUGCGUGUGGGAUCCAUCAACAGAGCCACAUGCUCCGCUGUCAUCGCGCUGCGUCUGUGCUUCGCACGUUCGUGUCAAAAAUUAAAAUGGACAGUUUUUUUUGGGCAUCUGAAAAAAUGCGGGGGUUGACAGCAAAUGAAAAUGUAUACCUUC